GACGAACGCUGGCGGCGUGCUUAACACAUGCAAGUCGAACGGAAAGGCCCUGCUUUUGUGGGGUGCUCGAGUGGCGAACGGGUGAGUAACACGUGAGUAACCUGCCCUUGACUUUGGGAUAACUUCAGGAAACUGGGGCUAAUACCGGAUAGGAGCUCCUGCUGCAUGGUGGGGGUUGGAAAGUUUCGGCGGUUGGGGAUGGACUCGCGGCUUAUCAGCUUGUUGGUGGGGUAGUGGCUUACCAAGGCUUUGACGGGUAGCCGGCCUGAGAGGGUGACCGGCCACAGUGGGACUGAGAUACGGACCAGACUCCUACGGGAGGCAGCAGUGGGGAAUGUUGCACAAUGGGCGGAAGCCUGAUGCAGCAACGCCGCGUGCGGGAUGACGGCCUUCGGGUUGUAAACCGCUUUCGCCUGUGACGAAGCGUGAGUGACGGUAAUGGGUAAAGAAGCACCGGCUAACUACGUG
rnacentral:rRNA from 1 species